GUGCUAUGGGUUCUUUUGUUUGUGGGUGAAGAAUGUUCACGUGGCGGUGGUGGUGGCGGUGGUGGUCAGCGGUGGCAUUUUGUGUGCGGAGGGUUUUUUUUAUACAUGUAGGGUGGUGUCUGUACUGUAAGAUAAAGAGAUCUGAUGAGGAAACCAAAGCGAAAGGUUUGUCUUGUUGUGAGGCUUAGAGAGAGAAAGAUGAGGUAUCAUAGUUGGUGUCCAAGAGACUAUAUAAGGUGGGAGGAAAAGAGUGGAAGCAUUUGUGGGUUUGAGCAAGUUCUGGGUAUCUAAAUUAAAUUUGGAGAGAGAAAUAUCAAGAAUCCAUACAAUAAUACUGUGUGAGAGAGAGGGAGGGGUAUCUUAUUUUGUGUUAAAG
rnacentral:lncRNA from 1 species